GAGCUUGCGGGGUCUAAGACUAUGCCAUGCAUGUCUAAGUAUAAAUGUUAUACAGUGAAACUGCGAAUGGCUCAUUAAAACAGUUAUAGUUUAUUUGAUAAUCAAAUUUACAUGGAUAACCGUGGUAAUUCUAGAGCUAAUACAUGCUGUUAAGCCUGACUUUGAGGAAGGGCUGUAUUUAUUAGAUAACAAAUCAAUAUUCCUUGUGUCUAUUGUGAUGAUUCAUAAUAACUGAUCGAAUCGCAUGGGCUUUGCUCGCGAUACAUCAUUCAAGUUUCUGCCCCAUCAGCUUUCGAUGGUAGUGUAUUGGACUACCAUGGCUUUCACGGGUAACGGAGGAUUAGGGUUCGAUUCCGGAGAGGGAGCCUGAGAAACGGCUACCACAUCUAAGGAAGGCAGCAGGCGCGUAAAUUACCCAAUCCUGACUCAGGGAGGUAGUGACAAGAAAUAACGGACCGAAGCCUAUGUUUCGGGAUUGCAAUGAGUAGAAUUUAAACCCCUUUACGAGGAUCAAUUGGAGGGCAAGUCUGGUGCCAGCAGCCGCGGUAAUUCCAGCUCCAAUAGCGUAUAUUAAAGUUGUUGCAGUUAAAAAGCUCGUAGUUGGAUUUCUGGGAGAGCGCCAAUGUCGUCUUGUUGAUUGUGCAGCGGCGCUCUUCCAUCCUUCUGUUAACGUUUCGGGUAUUCAUUUACUCGUCUCGGGCUCAGAUAUUUUACCUUGAGAAAAUUAGAGUGUUCCAGGCAGGCUCGCGCCGGAAUACAUUAGCAUGGAAUAAUAGAAUAGGACUUUAGUCUCCUUUGUUGGUUUGAGGGACUGAAGUAAUGAUUAAUAGGGAUAGUUGGGGGCAUUAGUAUUUAAUUGUCAGAGGUGAAAUUCUCGGAUUUGUUAAAGACUAACUUAUGCGAAAGCAUUUGCCAAGGAUGUUUUCAUUAAUCAAGAACGAAAGUUAGGGGAUCAAAGACGAUCAGAUACCGUCCUAGUCUUACCAUAUAAAUGCUGACUAGGGAUCAGGAGGGGGGGCUAAUCCGCGUUAGGCAUUUUAUGAGAAAUCAAAAGUAUUAAGGAAGAGUGUGGAGUAUGGUAGCAAGGCUGAAACUUAAAGGAUUUGACGGAAGGGCACCACCAGGAGUGGAGCUUGCAACUCAAUAGAUACAACACGGGAAAACUUACCAGGUCCAACAUAGCGACGAUUGACACCUACUAGCUCUUUCGCAUUGGGAUGGGAGGUCUGCACAACCGUUCUUAAUGAAAAGAGGGAGUUGUAUGGUUAGUUCCGUUAACGAUAGCAAGACAGCAUAGGAAAUAGUUGACUCGUAACAAGAGAGACCAACUUGUUAGCGGAACUUAGUGAUUCUCACAGGGAAGUUACCGGCAAUAUCAGGUGUGUGAUACCCUUAGAGCCAUUGGGCCGCACGCUUGCUACAAAGACGCAUUCACCGAGUACUUACCAGCUCCGAGAGGCAGCUGGUAGUCAGCGAUAUGGGUCGGGAUGGGGAUAGAUCAUAGGAGUUAUAGAUAUUGAGCGAGGAAUUCAAAGUAAGCGCGGGUCAUUACCUUGCGCUGAAUAAGUCCAUGCCCUUUCACGCACCGCCCGGCGCUCCGGCGAAUAUCGAGUGAUCCGGGAACCAUGAGGGCCCAGGUGCUCUAGCAGUAUUGUGAAAAAAAUCUAACCCAUAUCACUAGAGGAAGGAGAAGUAAACAAGAACGU
rnacentral:rRNA from 1 species